rnacentral:lncRNA from 1 species
AAACAAGCAGGAAUUGGAUUACCACCUAUAUCUAGGGAAUCCAAUUCCACCAAUACAAGGAAUUGAAUUCCAAAAUUUGUCCCACUACUUUUUUGAUUCCUUUAUAUUUAGUAAACACCGGAGUACUCCGUAAUCGGAAUUCAAUUCCACAUUCUCAUUCCGAUUACGGAUACGUAAACACGCCCUUAAUUCCUAGCUAGGGUUUCUCCACAACCGCGUUACUCUCUAAAAGCCUCUCAUGCCUCCGUGUAGAUGUUAUCAAUUGAUUGUCAUAGCGAAUAAUCAAAGAUAUGACAUUAGUAUGGACAUAACCUAGAACCUCAGUACUCUUAUAAAAUAAUAACUUCCUCGUACUCAUUAAAAAAAAUUAAUUCUAAAUUGGGCCAGUUAUAUAUAAGAGUACAACUCAAGUGGGUUGCAAGGUCAACCCAACUCUAACCCAACCCUCACAAAAGUGGUUAAAUUUUAGAUUGGAUUUCAUUCGGGUUUAUUUGAGGUCAGACCUAUUAAAUAGUAAAUAAGAAAAAAUAGUUAGUCGUAUAUAUUUUAUAUGUGAAACAAUUAUUAUUAAAGCAAAAUACAUAAAGGACAUAAUAAUUACCAAAUGGAAUCAAGUAUCUUUAGUGCUACAUGAAACCCGAUGCCAAAAACUUAAACAAUAUCAACUACACCUAUAAAUGGAAUUUAAAAUAGACACCUGCUUUAAAAAUCAUAUAUAUUAACACUAAGCUCAAUAUCUUAGAAGGAAGAAGAAAGCAAUGAAAACCUUCAUAGAAAAAUGUAGAGAGAUAGAAGAGAGAAAAGAAUGAACUGCUAUGAAUGUAUCGAUUGAUUGAGAAUUACAGAGAAUUGCUAUAUAUACUACAACCUUCGAUUCAUAGCUAAGUAAUCGAAAACUAAUUAACUUCUCUUAUCCUUUUAGUUGUCUAACCACAAUCCUAACUUGCCGAUGUACAUAUAUCUAUCAACAUCGCCCCUCAAUCUCAGCUGGGUUUCCAAGCUUGAGAUUGAAUGAAUGCUUGAGGAAUGAAGGACUCUGUAGAUCCUUAGUUAGUAUGUCUGCAGUUUGACCUUCAGUAGGUAGAUAUUGAACUUGCAAAUCCCCCUUUUGAACUCUCUCCAGUACGAAAUGAUAGUUGUGUCUAAAUGUUUGAUCCUCAAGUGAAAAACUGGUUUGGCACUUCAUGCAAUUGCAUAUUUGUUAUCACAGUAUAUCACUGGAGGAAAAGGUAAGACAACAGCCAUAUCUCGAAGAACAUUUAUAAUCCAAGCAACAUCAGCUGCAGUAUGUGCCAAUGCGUUAUACUCAGCUUCUGUAGAACUCCUUGAUACAAAAUCUUGCUUCUUUGACUGCCAUGAAACUGGAUUAUUACCAAUGUAUACAACAUAGCCUGUCACAGAUUGCCUUGUGUUCAAAUAUGUAGCCCAAACAGAAUCACUAAAGGUUGUGAUCCUUACUGCAGUGUCAACUAAAAAUGUGAUACCAGUUUGUAUAGUUCCUUUUAAGAAUCACAUGACCUUUGUUACUGCCCCAAAAUGUAUCUCUGUGGGAGAAGUCAUGAAUUUACACACAUAAUUCACAACAUAUGCAAUAUCUGGCCUUGUAAAGGUCAAAUACUGCAAUGAGCCAACAAUACUACAAUACAAACUUGGAUCAGGCAAUAUGGUACCUUCAGUGACUAGCAAUGGAUCAUGAGGCUUGCAUGGUGUAGAUGCUGGUUUGCAGGACUCCAUACCAGUUUUAUGCAAUAAGUCUUUUAUAUACUUAGAUUGGUUGACACAUAUAUCACCAUUCUUCUUGUAGUUAACUUGCAAACCAAGAAAAUAAGUCAACUUUUCCAUAUCUUUAAGCUCAAACACCUCAUAUAACUCUGUGAUUACACUUUGUACCUUGCACGAGUUUGAUCCAGUUAAGAUAAUGUCAUUUACAUACAACAGUAGAAUGACUACAUCACCAUUAUCUUGCUUAACCAAUAAACUGGAAUCUGAAGUAGAAGAUUUGAACCCCAUUGCAGGUAAGUAACUUGUGAACUUGGAGUUCCAGGCCCUCGGAGCUUGCUUAAGACCAUAUAACAACUUGAUUAACUUGAAAACAUACGAAGGAUUGGCCAUAUCCACAAAUCCCUGAGGCUAUUUCAUGUAAAUUUCCUCUUGAAGGUCACCAUGCAAAAAUGCAUUCUUAAUAUCUAACUGCCUUAACUCCUAUUAAUUAAUUAUGGCCAAUGUUAAUAAUACUCUCACUAUGGUAUGUUGAACCACAUGACUAAAUGUUUCUGAGUAAUCAACUCCUUGUUCUUGUGAAAAAUCUUGUGCGACCAACCGAGCUUUAUACCUGGAGAUUGAGCCAUCAUGAUUCCUUUUGAGUUUAUAAACUCAUUUGCUGCCAACAAUUGACCUAUCAUCAGGUAGUGGAACAAUUUCCCAAGUUCCUUGAGCUAUAAGGGAAUUAUAUUCUUCUUGCAUUAUAUUCUGCAUUGUGGCAUAAAUGCAGCUUUUCGAAACGUUGUUGGUUCUGCAGCAUCAACAAAACUGGCUACAAAUGAAAAACCUCCACCAAAAAGCUUAUCUUGAGUUAAUUGCAAAGAUUGCAGCUCAGGUAAGGCAACAAGAUAUCCCUUAUAACUCAUUUGUGGUAACACACCACUUUUCGAUCGAGUAAUCAUUGGAUGCAUUGAAUCAGCUUUGGAGUUACCAACAUCAGAUAAAAUGGGAGUUGAAAUAUGAAGUAUUACCUCAAGUUGUGUGUCAUGAUGGACAUGCAACAUUUGUGACACACUAGAAGGAGUGGAAGUGAGGGGAGAAAACUCCAGUUGUGAAGAAGUACCAUGUGACAGUGAACUAGAACUAAAGCUUGUAUCUAGAGAAAAAUCUGAUGUCUAUGAGUAUAAGCCAUGUGAAAUUGGUACUUGUUGUAAUGAAGUAUCAUGUGUAGAAGAACUAGUAGUAGCACUACUUUUAGAUAUUGAAACAUACAUAUUAUCUUGAUAUUCACUAUUAUCUUUCGUUUGAUUUCUGUGAAACAUACAUUUUGUUGUAGCUGGAAAUGAGCUGUUGCUGGUAGGCUGUGAUGUAGGUGAUGGUCUGUUCGCUAUUCUCCUCUGUCAGAUCUAAGCUUGUGGCCAUCUCUUUACUGAUCUGCUUAAUGCUUAGUAGUAGAGCAGGGAUACUUAGCUUGAUGACAUUGGGAUAAAUGAUUGCUUUUGAGCCAAAUGCUAAAGAGAAAUGAGUCUCAUCAAUUGCUUUUCUUUUGGUGGUGCGAUAUGCUCAUAGACAUCCAGGGAGUUCGUUUGGCCAUUUUCCCUUCUUGUUGGUGAGGGAUUUUUGAGGCAGUCGAGGAUCAUCUUGUUGAAUGUUUCGGCCUGCCUACUACCUUGAGGAUAUCUUGGCAUGAACAUGUGUUGCUUGAUGCCAUACUUUUGGAAGAACUUCGCCAUAUUUUAGCCCACGAAUUACGGGUCGUUAUCGAUGACGAUGGAUUGAGGGAUGCCAAAUCGGCAAAUGAUGUUCCUCCAUAUGAAAUGCUCUAUAUCUACAUGAGUUGUGGUCGUCUUGGGCUUUGCUUCUACCCAUUUGGUUAAGUAAUCGGUUGCCACGAUCAUCAUGCAUCUACCUUUAGUAGCAGGUGGCAUAGGUCUUAUCAAGUCGAUUGCCCACUGCAUGAACGACCAAGGAUUCAUUUGCAGGUGUAGCUCGCUAGCAAACAGUGAUGGUAUCGGCUUGUAACGUUGGCAGUGGUCGCACUUUUGUAUUAACUUCUUAGCAUUUCGGUGCAUGGUAGGUCAUCAGUAGCCUGUGUUAAGAGCCUUAUGUGACACCUCGGCUGUUAGCUUCGCCUCUAUGCUUGGCUCGUCUAGAUACUCCAUCGGAAUAAAGUGUUUAAAUUAGUGGUCGAGGGCGGAGCCUAGGCUGGCUAAUGUGUCCACGUGAACGUUGUCUGCCUGUGGAACUUGAGUGAGGGUGUAAGUAUGAAACGCCUUAAGUAGUCAGGCUACUGAUUAGCAGGGAAUCAUAAUGAAUUGCCAGCUUUUUCACUGCCAAGCUUUUGCUAUUCGGAGGCCUGUUAGUAGGGUUUCGUAUUCUGCUUCGUUGUUGGAUGCUUUGAAGCCUAGAGUGAUCGCCUGCUCAGACAUCGAACAGUUUAAGGACUAUGCCUGCUCUCGAACCUUUGUAGUUGGAUGUGCCGUGGACAUGCAAAUGCCAUAAGUCUCCAUCGGGUGAAGCAAGCGCGGCUAGGGCGUGCUUGGCUACAUUUGGGGUGUCGUUGGGCCGCCCUGUUACGUCGUUAAUGCGUGGUAAGGAGUUGUGGAGUUGGGGCCAUGUUACACACAACAGGAGAUGCUCAACCGCCAGUAUUGGGCCACUGUAGAAUUGAAUUAUAGAGCAAGGGUCGGCUGGGGCUAUGCGACACGUAGCAGGAAAUGGUGCUCAACUGCCGAUACAUGUUGUUUCUAUGUAGAAUCUUUUGGGGUGACGAGGACAAAACUUGCUUCCGAGUUUGUCCUUCCAGUGUUCGUCUGCCAUUGGCGUGUCUUUUCGGCUGAGUUGUUGCGUUCGUCAGAAACUUUGCAUCCUCCAAGGUUUAUGCCUUUAUCGUCGCGCAUCUGGAUUGGGCCGAAUAAUGCGUCAUGAGGAUUAUUGCGUGUGUUUGAAGGUAAAAAUUGAGUUUUCGGGUUGCAACAACUAUCGCCAAAGUUAGCUUUUGAAUUUUUGAUAGCAUCAAUGAUAGCUUUUGAACUGUGGAAUACAUGUAGUCGGGCCCCUAGCUCUUCUCGUAUGAUGAUAGAGCUUAUUACUGUUUUAGAUACCAUUAAACAUGUGAAUAAGUCCUCCGCUGAUUCCGUUUGGAUAAUAGGGAGGUGAUGUCGGGUACUUCUUCAAGUUAUUGAAUGUGCAUCGGCGAGCCUCAUCCCAAAGUGCAUGCUUAUCUGCCAGAGUGAAAAAGUCUGCUAGAGUUAAAUCUUCUUUCAUGAUCAAUUUUUUGAAUAGUGGGUGGUCUGCUGGAAGUCAUUUUUUGAAGGCUGUUUAAGCUAUUGAGUCAUUGCAUCCGAUUAUCCUUGCCUUCUUUGCUUUGAACUUCUUCACAUAGUCACGAAGCGACUCUUUUGGGUUUUUCUUGACACGUUGAACAAAUGGUCGGACUUCUUUUUGAUCAAGUGAUAGGAUGAAUAUUCUUUGGUGAAAACCAAAGAAAGUUCGUCGAAACUCCAGAUAAAUUGUGGCGGCAGGAUGUAGAAGCAAUCUUGCGUCUCGCCUUAUAGAAUGGUGGCGAAUAUCUUGCAAAUGAGAUUGUGGUUGUUUUGAUAGAGGAUCAUUGCGCUUCAGUAGUGCUUUAAGUGUCUCUCCGGGUCUUCAUCCCAUUUGAAAGAUGUGAAAUGUGGCAUGCUGAAUUCAAAUGGAGGCUCUAUCUGCUCGAUCUCAUUCGUGAAGGGAUACCUGUUUAUGUUGGUUAUGUUCCGUCGUAGUGCCUCGUCGGUGAUCUCGUUGCGUUGGAUAUUACGCAAUCACUUGGUCAAGGGUCUAUUUACUUCUUCCUGAAUUUGCCUUUGUUGGGGGUAGCAGAGCUUUCGGCUGCCCUCAGCCUCGACUUGCUGGUCUAGGCUGCUCUUCUAUGAGUUUGGCUCGUCUAUGCUGCAGAUGUGAUGCGUGUGGUGAGUUCCUAGCAGGCGAGCAAGUUCUUUGCAGACUGUUGAUUGAACUUGAGCUGGAUUGAGUGAUUGCUUCUCUCUGUCUGUCGUGUUACCUACUCCAAUGUAGGGUGGAUGAUGCUCAUUGCAGGCUUAGCCGUGAAUGAACACUCCGCCUGGAAGGUUGCUCAUGUUGACUAUUGGAGUAUGACCUCAACCAUGAAUGUAUGCUCGUCCGUUGGCCUAGUUGAGAGUGCACGCUCAUUCGCGGGCUAAGACGGGAGUAUACGUUAUCUCAAUGGCUCAAUCGGGAAUGUACACUGCCCGAAUGCUCGGUUCGUGGCUGGUCGAGUGGUUGCUUACCGAGACGCUGUUAGAGAGGUUCAUUGUCUGCCCUUAUCCUACUUCGAGACACCUCGUCUGGGCACGUUGCAUCUCGAUGCGCUGUAAGAGCUGGUUCACCAAGGUCAUCUACUAUGCGAGUGCGCUAGUCAACUUUAUGAUUUGUCGAGACAAGUGUUGUUCUCCAUUUGGGUUGGAAUAACUUGGAAGUAAUGCGUCUCCUUGAGCAAUGGAAAUGUGGUAGACUUCGGGCACUAGAUUUGAGUUGGGAAAUGUCAAAUCCGUAGAAAAAUAUGGUGAAAAUGAUCCCAGUUCGAUCAUUGGUCUGAAAAUUUAGAGCCGGGAUGGUUGAACUAAUCUUGGAUUGAUUUGGGCUGCUUGGAAGGCCACAGGAGCAAGUUGGGCCACAAGAGCAGGUUGGGCCACAUGAGCAUGUUGGCCUAUGAGAAUGGGCUGCUCGCGGGAGCAGGCUGGGCCACGGGAGUAGGCUAGGCCACGAUAGUGUGUUGCUCAGCAGGAAUAGGCUGGGCCAUGAGAGCAGGCUUGGCCACGAGAGUGGGUUGCUUGGCGGGAGUAGGCUGGGUCACAAGAGUGGGCUGCUUGGCGUGAGGAGGCUGGGCCACAAGAAUGGGCUGCUCAGUAUGUGGCACAUGUGGGUGCGAGGUUAAGGCUCGGCUUGGCAACACGAUGGGCUUGGAGUGACAUGGCUUGGGCCAUGGCUUUGGUGCCGUGGGCCUUGGAUGGCACGGCGUGGGCUUGCUUAGAUGGCACAGCUCGAGCAAUGGUGGUGACAGCAUGGACCUCAUUGCGGGUGGCCACCGUGGUGCAAACUCAUGGUGGUAGUGCCGUUCUACUUAUUGUCACAUUUAGCCUCAUGGAUCGCCGUGAUCCUAUCUCUUGAAUAUUGGAAUUUUCACUUGUAGAAUUUUCUAAAUUUCUACCCGCUGUAUUUCUCUUUUACGUUUUAUCAAAGAAUCUUUGCAAAUAAAAAAUCCUAAUAAUAAGAACGUACGAAAAAUCUACAAAUGGACAAGAAAAUAGAAAAACCUUUUGAUACGAGAGUCUUCUAUGAGUGUGUGACUAUUCUCUUAAUGAAAGCACCAAUUUGUGGAUGCAAACUUCUUCCUCCUUGAUCUUGGACAAAAUUGCACCUACAAAACAAUUAACAUCUUUGGUUAAGGCUAAAAGCCUCGCGUGCCCACGAUGAAUAGGGGUGGGGGGAGUUUUGGCCGAAGAACCUCCAAUGCCAAAGUUAGAAUUUAGAGAGAAAAGUGUUUGGAGAGUUUUUGGGAGUUUUGCUAGAGUGUUGAAACUUAGGUUUUUAGAGAAAAUGAGGUUGAAUAUAUAGAGCAUGGUCGGUCCCUUUGGGAGAGAGGGUGGCUGGCCUCUUGUGUAUUUUUUUGGUGCAAUUGGUGAUUUGAUUGGCAAUUAAUUGAUUAAUUAGGUAAUAAAUCCAUUAAUUAGCCAAUUAACAUAAUUUAAAAGGAAUGUUUUGGAGGUUGUGGAAUAAUUAUCUUGUGGAGAAUGUAGGGUGAUGAUGGAUGAAAUAAUUUUGAAUUUGUUACCUAUUUGGGCACCUUUGAUUUGAUUGAGGGAUAAUUGUCCAUUGCUCGCACAUAGGAAUCCUGAUGUGCCUCGAGGGUAAUUUUGUCAUUUUCACCCAAAAAUCCACGUGUUGCCUCUUGAUUAUUUUUUGGCUCCACAUCAACUUUAAUUCUUUAUCAACCUACUGAUGAAACACUUGGAGUGUACGAUUAUAUUUCUAGUACCUCAUGUUGGAGUUUUGAGCCUCCUUUAGUCCGGGGUACUCAAAUUCCCUAGAGGUCUUUAUAUUAGUUUAGUAACCUUUAUUAAUGAAUAGGUAUUGGACCAUUUGGAAUGAGAAUCAAGGUUUAGGCCAUUAAUUGUGUAGAUUAGGCUUGAUGAUUAUAUCAUAAUAUUAAUAUUAAUUUUAAUAUCGAAUUAAGUUUUUAAUUAAAUUAAUUAAAAACCGUUUUGAUUAAUAGACACAGCUGUUUAGAAAGAGUUGUGUGGUUUCAGAUACAUUCAAAAGGUAUUUGAAGAGAUAUGAAAUAGCCUAUAUAACUGAAGACUCAGUUCCAUCGUAAAUCAUCUUUUUCCUUUCUCAUCUCUCCCAUACAAAACCUUAUAGAGAGUAAACACACCAAGCAAUUCGCCAUAAUUUUAUAAUCCGGUGCGGAUUAUAGGAUUAGAUAGUUGUAUCAUGGUUGGGCAGACGUCAUUGAACCAAGAGCACAAGAGUGAGGCAGAAAUACUGUUCGAAUGACAUAACUUUUGUGCUAGCCUCUAUUUGUGAUUUAAUCAAGUUAGUAUCAUUUAAGUCCUGUAAUUAUUUUUGUUAUUUCAUUCUGUAUUGCAAGUAUUUUUCAUUAAUAAAGAAUUAGUAUUUCAAUUUAUGUUAUUUUAUUUAUUUUCUGAAUUGUUCUCCAACAUUGGUUACUUUAUUGGAUGUUUGACACUUCGUCAGAUUAGAAGAUUAGUUGUUAUGGUUAGUAUUGUGUUUAUUGUUGUUAAUUGGUUAGAAACUUAACUUGCACGUGCAAAGCAAGUAAUCAUUGAAAAAUAUAUUGUUGUUGAUUAUUUCAGUCAUAGAAUUAUAACAUAUGCCGCACGGCUUACUUAGAACUACUAUUCCGGGUUUUAGAAUGCCAUCAUUCCAGAAUUUGGUCCAGUAGUUAUGAUUAUGAUGCAAACAUACGUAAUUGAGUUGAAGAUACGUAUCAUCAUCAGCCGGCCACAAAGUGCGGUAGUACAGACCUAUAACAGGAGACUGCAACCAAAAUCUCCGCAACCAAAUAUCAGAGAUUAUUCGUACCAUGACUUGGCAACUAUCUUGCAUUUCAUCAAAUCCAAUUGUGAUAAUUUGCUCAAAAUAUUAAACCUCAAAUCAUCAGACACAUAUAAAUUCCUAAUAGCCGAAUCAUUUAAGUCCACAACAGCAGCCGGAGAGCCAACCAUGUUCAUCUCAUCUAUAGUUAUUCUGGUGAAGUUGAAAGAAACAGUAUCAGAAACCGUAAAAUUCUGAAACUAAAGGCCAGUGUCUGAAACCCGAGAUUUCGGAAACUCAAUCGGGACCUUAAUGUUGGAUAUAAGUUAACAAUCCGUGAUAUAAUUAUCUAUGCUAAUAAAUAAUAAAUGCGAAUAGAAAAAUUAACAGAGUAUGAACAAAACAAAAAUAUAAAACAGACAACUUGAAGAUCGAGACUUGCGUACUGCAAUCAUGGACAGAGCUACAUAAGGCCCAGGGAGGGCAUCCGCCUCCAUUCAGAUUUUUGGGUUAGGAAAGCAAAAAUGUCAUGACAAUUAAAAUAACAAUUAAAAUUUUGAUUUUGGUUCCAAAUAUUCCACGUUUUCUAACCUAAAUCAAACUCAAUUGAACUGGGGGUUUUGAUAAAUACAUUGGAUUCAACUAAUGAAGUAUCAUAAUUUAAUACAAAAAUUUUACUCCAAAGUAUUUUAUAUGAAUUUACUUCAUUCAUUUGUUUGUGGCAUUACAAUUUAGAAUUUAACUUUCUAAUUUAGAGAUUUUUUACUGUAUCUAGUCCUCAAUAACCUAAAACCCAUUAUUUUACUUGGUUGUUUUAACACGCCCCCAAUCAAAAAAAAUUCUAGCUCCGUCCUUGACUGCAAUGUCCUUGAAACAGAAAAUUUGUCCCUACGCAAUGCUUGUAGUUCUACUUUUUCUUUCGGCAAAACCAUUUUGUUGUGGUGUGUAUGGAGCCGUUGUUUGAUGUACAAUUCCAUGUUGUGCACACAAAUCAGAGAAGGCAGUUGUUUUCGGAGCCUUAUUCUUCUUCGGCUUGGCCUUGGAGUUUCCUCCCUCGACAUAAUUUGCAUUGGCUUCAAUGGCAGUAAACCCACCAGAAUGGUCUGCCUUUCCGUGGUCUUCUUCCACUCGUAGCCUUAGAAUCAAAUCCUCCAUAUUCAUUUCACGACACUUGUGCUUGAGAUAAAUUUUGAAGUCAUUCCAAGAAGUUGGCAACUUUUCGAUUAUCGCCCUAACUUGGAAAUGCUCAUUGAUCUCGCAUCCCUCAGAGUGCAAUUCAUAGAUCAAUUUUUGGAUUUCUUCGACCUGAGAUACAACAAAUUUCGAAACCAUCAAAAUAUAUUUGAGAAACUUACCGAUAACAAAUUUAUUUUAACCGGCAUCAUCAAUCUUACACCUUUUCUCCAAGGAUUCCCACAACUCCUUUGUUGUCUUGCACAGAGAAUAAAUGUCGUAGAGAUUGCCAUCCAAACUAUUCAGAAUAUAAUUUCUGCUACAAAACUCGGAAUGAUUCCAAGCUUCAAUUGCCAUGACAAUCUCUUUCGUCAUUGGAUUCUCAUUAGAUUCGGAGCUUCUUCCUUGACAACAUGAGCGAGAUUCAUUGUUGUCAGGAAAAACAACAUCUUCUGUUGCCAUCUGUUGAAGUCCAGCCCUUUGAACUUCUCAGGCUUUUCAGAGUAUUUUGGCAUAGCGCCAUUCACAUUCACAGAUUGUUGAUCCAUAAUUUUCUGUUUCAAGAUUGUUGGAUAUAAGUCAACAAUCCGUGAUAUAAUUAUAUAUGCUAAUAAAUAAUAAAUGUGAAUAGAAAAAUUAACAGAAUAUGAACAAUACAAAAAUAUAAACCAGACAACUUGAAGAUCGAGGUUUGCGUACCGCAAUGUCCUUGAAAUAGAAAUUUCGUCCCUACUCAAUGCUUGUAGUUCUACGAACAUCUACUUCAUCAGGAUUCAACGAUCUAAGUUAGAAUUCUAGCACCGGAAAACUAGACUUCUAGCGAAUUUGUUUGUGGUGCUCUCAGUAUGCUUGGUAUAUGAGGAUUGAUGAUUUUUAGUGUUUUGAAUGAUAUGCAGAUGCAUGUAUUUAUAGUGAGCAUAUGUAUUUUCGCAACAGACAUGUUUUUGGGAGGCGACUGUUCAAUGUAAAGGGUGUGUUGCUCCAUCUGUUUCUCAGAUACACUCUCAGACUUCAUCUGAAAAGAUGAGUCUUUUCAUUAAAAAGUAAUUUAAUUAAAUUCGAAAUUAAUCAUAAAUAAUUAAUUAAAUAAUUUAAUUUUCAGAGCCCAAGGCCCAUCUUUUGAUAAUUAAUUAUAUAUCUUGAUUAUUAAUUAAUUAUCAAUUAAUUAUUACACCCCAAAGCCUAACCCCAAGGGUGAGCCCAAUUUUAUUCUCCAAGGUUCAUCACUCCAAUCACUUUCUAUAAGAGACAAAGCCUUAUAAAGUGAGGAAACCUUGUGGUGGUGAGUAAUGUGGGACAAUGAAAUUCUACUCAAAAUUUUCAACACUUAAGUCUCGAAAGAAACCAUCAACUAACAAUAAACUGUACGCAGAUCAAUUUUUAAAGUCUUUGUAUUACAUCAUAUUCCUAUUUUGAUUGGGAUUUUGGAUUUGGAUUUGAUUACUUUCUGCCAGUUAAGAGAAACUGCUUAGAACUUUUAUCUUUUCAUUAUUUAGGGAGGAAAACCAAAUAUCACAUAACCCUAGGCACGGGCCGGGUCGGGCCCAAUUUUGAAAGAACCAGACCUUACCCGUUUUAAAUAGUAACAGGGCGGACUUGAUCGGGUAUAGAGAUUUUGAGUUUUGGAACCGAACCUAACCUGGCCCGUUUGAAACGGGCCGAUUUGGGGCGGGUCCACGGGUCCAACUUUUUUUUUUUAAUUUAUAAACUGCAGUGCUGCUGUGAACUGCAGCAACACUGGAAUGAAAUUAGCAGACUAAACCGGCCAACGUCCCCAGCCAUUGGACUGGCGGUUCUUCGCCUGAGCAGUUCGACCAACACCGCGACAAAAGCAGCGGAAGGGAAUGGCUUGCUUGUGGCCUAAAACAUCUUCCAAGUACCUUUUAGCCUUUGCCAAAUGCAUCUUCCUGAUGGCAUGGGCAGUCUAAAACAGAUAAACAAAUCCAAAUUUUAACAAUCGAAUCGAACCAGUCCAAGCAUAACACAAACAAUCCAAGAUAAACAGAUUUGAAAAUUAAUUGAGCUGGUUUUUUAAAACUAAGGUUGCACUGCACAUCAAUUCUUGAAUAUAUAUACCACACACACACACACACACACACACACACAUACUCACACACAUAAUCGAUUCAAAUUCAAUUCAAUAAAAGAUUUGAAAUUGGAGCAUAAUAGAGGUUAAGGUUUAACAACCCAGCAAAAUUCCUAAAUCUAGAAAACCCUAAUUUAAUUUUCAAUCCUUAAUCCUUAAAACAUAAUACCUUAAAACUGAAGAGGAGUAGAGUCGUGCGCUGCAAAUAUGGGUUUGAGUCAGACGGAGGAGAUGACUGGUUCGAAAUCCGGUUGUUCAUGCUUCGCCAUGAUCAGGUCGAUAAGGACCCGGGUUCCGGCAUCAGACUCGGAAUCGUUCAUGCUUCGCCAUGAUCAGGUCGAUAAGGAGUUGUCGAAGGUGAUGUACGUCAGCAUCGAUAACGUGAGGGUCACCGAUGGGGUUGAAUUUGAAGUGUACGAGAACAAUGAUAUGGUUCUAUGUGGGUCUCUAGAGCGGUGGAAGGUGUUUGGAUCAAUGGAAAUGUGCGAGGAUUGGACAACGCUUCAAGAACAGGUGGAGUUAAGAGGAGAGAUCGAAGUCUGAGAAUCUGAGUGAAAUGAGAGAAGUUGGGAUGAGAUAUGAGAAGACAGGCCUUAGACUUCGGCUCAAUUAUAUUCCAUGCUAGAAAUGGGCCGGGCCGGGGGCUCGUUCCCUCUUAUUUUAAGAUCCGGCCCGCCUCUCUAAUUUCAUAUACCUGAACCACCCCGCCUCGUUUUGCGUUUAGAAAUUUUGGACCUGCCCCGUACCCGCCCCGAACCUGAAUUACUCGCCCCUACCCGCGGUUCCUGUACCCGUUUGCCCAUCCCUAUCACAUACUACUGCAUUUUCCCCCUUAGGCUUCAGUUACGAAAUAUUGUGUACUUUUGAUAUUAAAUGAGAACCAUACCCUCAUUCUAAGCACCCUCAAUUCCCAACUAGGGUUACUCCAUAGCCCGUUACUCUCUAAAACAUUUUCAUGCCUCUAUGUAAAUGUAAUCAAUUCAUUAUCAUAGCAAAUAAUCAAAGAUAUGACAUUAGUAUGGACAACCUAUAACCUUGAUACUCUUAUCAAAUAAUAACUUCCUCAUAGUUAUAAUUUUUUUUUAUAAUCAUAGGAACAUGCACAAUUUUGCCCCAUUGUACAUGACCCACAAGCCACUAGCACUAGCUAAUAAUUGUCACCGAUCACUGGUGCCAGAAAAAGGUUUCCAAUCGCCUAAAAAUUUUGAAGUCACUUUUCAACAUUAACAUUUGUUUGUAUCAUACUUAGGGCCUCCGUAUUUAGAUCUCGUAUAAAUACUCGGGGGACUCAAUAUAAUUAUGUAAUAAAUGAAUGGGCAAAUAUGUAAUAAGUGAGGAGUCCUUAUUCUAUAAAAUGACUCCUUACUCUCCUCAUUAGGGGAGGCCAAUUCUUAGGCCUGACUACCACCCUCAGAAGCCUCACUCUCCUAUUCAGAGGCUCUCUAUCCUUCACAGAGAAAUACAAUAUCAGUGUGGACGUAGCCCAAACAUUGGGGUGAACCACGAUACAUCUUGUGUUAUUUACAUUUCUUGCAGAUUCACGGUCGAACUUACGUUGUUCCAAGACCUCCGGUUUUGUGCAUCAACGUUUGGCGCUGUUUGUGGGAAUCGAUACGAAAAGUUGUGUCGGUUCUUUUUCAUUUUUUUCACCUCCGCCGUGAAUCUGUAAAAUCACAAAGCUAUUGACACUCCAAGCACCGUGCUCGCUCUCCCACUUCCGCUCAAACCCCAUUCUCAUCCUCUAUUACACCUCCCUUAAACCCCUUUCUUCCUUAUCCUCACAGCCCGUCACCCACUUCACCAUCACAGACCAAUCCCUCUGAGUCUGUCUUAUCAAUUUCAAUCCCCAUGCUUGCUUAUAGCUUUCAAGACCAUAAUCUCAACUGGGUGUCCAUUGUUUUCAAAUUUUUGAUUGGAGUAGAAGAAAAUUAAGAGAACCCAUGAGUCUUCUUCCUUUUGAGCUUGGUUUGCUGCCAUUUCCAGAACUGGGUUCUUCAUUCCAUUGAAGAUUUUCAACUGGGUUAGUGGGUUUUGGUGCAAAGCUUCAAGCUUUGGAAGUUUCUGCUGCCAUGGAUACUCCGCCGGCAGAGGAGGUCUGAAGAAGAUCCAAAUGCUGGAAGCGGGUCAGGCUGACUUCAAGAAAGAGAUGACCAAGCUCAGGCACUCCGAGGAUGUCAAAUCAGAGCACCAGAAGGCCCACUCCGUCUUGCCGCAACACUCAAGUUUCUCGUCUGUACCCAAAAGGAGAAUCGCUGAGGACGACGAUGUUGCUGGUAAUGGAGGUCACGAUGCGGCGGCUUGGAAGAUAGGGUUUUCUUCAUUUCGGCAUUCCUUGCCACUUCAGAGGGAGAGCCGCAGCCAUGAUCUUCCUAUUGGAGGCAGUGGCGGCGGCGACGACGUCAAUGGGGGAAGCAGUAGCACCGGACCUUUAACUGUGAACUUUACGGAUAGGCAGUAUCUGAACAUAUUGCAGUCAAUUGGGCAAUCUGUGCAUAUAUUUGAUAUCAAUGGGCUUAUAAUUUACUGAUAGAAAUGCAAGAACAGGCAACAAGUUCUCUCGCUACGAGCUCUCUGCCUUCCAGCAACAGAAUAAUGAAAGCAGAAAACAAAAGCAAAAGAGAGGUGCGGUGGAAAAGAGAACGACAAAAGCAAAAGAGAGAGGUGCAAGCUGUGGGAAACAAAAGCGAAAGCAAAGCAGAAAACCGAGAAAAAACACAAAGCAAAAGAGAGUUUUUCCUCUGCGAGAGCACAUGAGGACACUGCAAAAGCAAGGAAUAAACACCCACACUGCAAAAGCAAGGAAUAAACACCCCACCAAAAUGAUGUGAUUUACUUUUCUUGUUUUUUGAAUGAUGUGAUUUAUUUUUCUUAUCUUUCGGAGACAACUGUAUAAACCCAUUAGAGGGUAAAAAACAAAAAACAAAAAAAAACAAAAAGGCAAAGCCCAAAAUAAUGGGCUGGAAUGUUAUGUGGAGGGCGAAGGCCCAUAUGCCCAAAAGAGCCAAGCCCUCUAUUAUCACCAACCAAGUGAUCAAAAGUACGUCAAGUGCUACAAAAAAUUAUUCAGCAGUCUGCCGCUAUUACCACCAACUUGGUGAUCAAAAGUAAGCCCAGUACUCCAAAAUUAUUCGGCAGCCUGCCGCUAUUAUCACCAACCAGGUGAUCAAAAGUACGCCCAGUACUCCAAAAUUAUUCGGCAACUUGCCGCUAUUAUCACCCACUAGGUGAUCAAAAGUACGUCCAGUACUCCAAAAUUAUACAUGAGCAUCACUGAUGUCAAUCAUACAUAAACAUUCAUGAGCAUCACUCAUGACAAUCAUACAUAAACAUUCAUGACCAUCAUUCAUGUCAACAUUUAUGAGCAUCACUCAUGCCAACAUCCAUGAGCAUCACUCAUGCCAACAUCCAUGAGCAUCACUCAUGUCAAUCAACAUAAACAUUCAUGAGCAUCACUCAUGUCAAUCUAGCUUCAAAAGUUUCAUUUACAGAGCUCUAACUUCAAAAGCUUCAUUUACAGAGCUCUAGCUUCAAAGCUUCACUUGCAAAGCUUUACCUACAAAGCUUCAGUGCAGGGUAUACAAAUACCGCAUCCGAACAACCGCCAUUUCGGCCCAUACAUGGAUUCAAUUUGAAGUCUCCAGCCAACAGACUCUAUUGACCGAAGACUUGCGGAACUACAUUAUGUACCAUAUAUUGUACCAUAUAUUGGGCCUCAUGAAAAAUACUUGGGGGACUUAGCCCAUUAUUUAUGUAUUGAGGAGUGAGCCCUUAUUCUAUAAAAGGGACUCCUUAACUUUCAUUAAAGAGCAUCCAUUAUUCAUGUACUGAUGAGCGAACCCUUAUUUUAUAAAAGGGACUUCCUCACCUUCAUUAGAGAGCAUCGCCGCCAGCUGAGCAACCGCCUCGCAGUGAGCAUCACUCCUAACCCAUUAUUCAUGUACUGAGGAGCGAGCCCUUAUUUUAUAAAAGGACUCCCUCACCUUCAUUAGAGAGCAUCGCCGCCAGCUGAGCAAUCACCUCACCGCGAGCAUCACUCAUAACCCAUUAUUCAUGUACUGAGGAGCGAGACCUUAUUUUAUAAAAGGGACUCAUUCACCUUCAUUAGAAUAGCAUCGCCACCAAUUGAGCAACCGCCUCAUCGCAAGCAUCAUUCUUAACCUAUCACUUAUGUAUUGAGGAACGAGCCAUUAUUCUAUAAAAGGGACUCUCUCACCUUCAACGCCACAAGCCGAGCCAACCAAGGCAACAUAAGCCACAAGCAGAGCAGCCUCGCAACAUGUGCUACUUCUAGUUGAACAUCAUUUCAGAUCGGGUAUCGCCUCAUAUCGAGUAUCAAUCCUAUACGACAUCUAGUUACUUCGGCUCACACAUGGACUGAGUUUCAAGUCUCCAGCCAAAAGACUCUCUUAACUGAAGACUUAGGGGACUACUGUUUGUACCAUACUUAAGGCCUCCAUAUUUAGACCUCGUAUAAAUACUCGGGGGACUCAAAUGUAAUUAUGUAAUAAAUGAAGGGGUAAAUAUGUAAUAAGUUAGGAGCCUUUAUUCUAUAAAAGGACUCCUCACUCUCCUCAUUAGGGGAGGCCAAUUCGUAGGCCUGACUACCACCCUCAGAAGCCUCACUCUCCUAUUCAGAGGCUUUCUCUCCCUCACAGAGAAAUACAAUAUUAGUGUGGACAUAGCCCAAACAUUGGGGUGAACUACGAUACAUCUUGUGUUAUUUACAUUUCUUGCAGAUUCACGGUAGGACUUACGCUGUUCCAAGACCUCCGGUUUUGUGCAUCAACAACAUUAAUAAAAAUAACAUAUGUGCAACUUUUUUUACUAAGUUUAGUUAUUUUUUUUUUCAAUGAGAACUUUAUUAAUUAGUCAUGAGAUGAUAAUGGUGUUCCACUCACGGAGGAACUUACUUGUUCUCCCACUUAUUAUUAAUGUACCAUUACUCUACGAACUUAAUAAAACGACCCAUUCAUACUCUUUAUCAUCAUCUAAAAAUCAGGUAUACCAAAAAUCCUUCAAUUUGGAGGUCUUUAGCAAUCUAUAGGUGUCACAUUAAUUAAGCGGUUUUCGUAACAAAUAACAUACUCAUGAUGAAGCAUCCAUUUGCUUGAUGCAUAUAAAUGACUAAGGGAUCUCCAAAUUGAAUGAUUUUUUUACAAAUGAUCUUUAGGUAAUGACAAAGAGUAUAAACGGGUUUGAUUAUAAGUUCAUACGGUAAAUAUACGUUAAAUAUAAGUGGUGGAACAAGUAAGUUACACCCCAUAUGUGAAAUAUAAGCAUUAUCCUUAAUUAGGUUUAGGUAAAUGAGGAAUGUCACAUGGAUUCCUCCUAUGUAGAUAGUUAGAAAAUAAUUUUUCGGUCCAUUAGUGAUUAGAAAAGUAAUUUACGUCUAUCACUUACGUCUAUCCAUUAGUGAUUAGAAAAGUAAUUUUUCGGUCCAUUAAUGAGGCCGUUUAUUUCCCUUUUUUCUACAUGUAUUGCAUUACAGUGUACGUUGUGUAAUUCUGCAAAUUCAAAUUAAAGUCGUAUUAAAGUAUCUAUUUUAUUAUGGUCAAACUAGUCGCACCCAACUUUCGAACAUUAUAUUUGACUAAUUUGGCUACAAUAAUAUCAUAACAUCUUAUUGAUUUAAAAAUGAAUUUCCCACGUAUAUAUGAAAAAGUUCGAGAAAGUUCAAACUUGUAAAAUAUAUGAAUAAUGAACUAUAUUUUCGAAAUUUCGAGAUUACUUUGAUUUGAUGCAAUCUAAAAAAAAUUAAAAAUAAAUUAACCACCUAAUCUGAAAAGUAGAAAUCUUAUUUACUAUCAGAUAUGUCUGAAAAUCACCCUUAACCCGGCAGUUCCAUUCCUGCACAUAACUGCAUUUCACUAGGAAAAGUAAACCGCCGCUUGAUCAACAUAUUGCAAUAUGAACGACCACUUACAACUUGUACGCUGUCUAGUUUAUCACACUCACAUGGUAAUGCUUCCGCACUCAAAAUCUGUGCUCCCCUUAAAAGGCUCCCUGAUCUGUUGGAAGGAAAAAUAUGAGAGAAACUAUUGUGAGGUGCAUAUAUACCAACAAAUAAAGCUUCAUGUGAAACAACAAAGAAAAAUCAAUGUUAAUUGCAUCACAAAUAGCUUAGAUAUUUAUGCUAACUACGACAAGAUUCAUUGUGUCAAGAUAGGUUGUGAGCUUCAACAAAAAGUUACCCAUUAAUUAUGCAACUAUUGGGUUCGGUGUCUUGUAAGUUUUAGAAAAGAAUCAAAAUAUGGACUCUUUGGAAACAACAUUGUGACUCCAAAGUCAUCUAAGCAGUAACUAAUUAAUCCAUUCUUCAUUGGUAAAAUUAAAGGAGAAAAUAUAGCAAUUCCCCUUGUACUUAUCAUUUGUUUAAUUUUCGAUUGGUCAGUAGAACUUUCUAUCAAGUUUCAAGCCCUCUAAUCUCUGAAAAUGUCGAAAUUCCUCUCUUCUUGGGUCCGUCAACUUUUCCUUUAAAUUUGAAGUCAUUUUUGUUGAAUUCAAACGGGAUUUCCCCACAUUUAUAAGAAUAAACGAUAAAGUGUUUGCUCUCCAAUUUAAAUCAAGCAUCCAAGUAUGUGGGUUUAGUUACGAAAAAGCUCUUCUUAAUGACAAUGAUAAUAACCUUAAAAAGUACUAACAUUCCUGUGUAUAUGCUUAUAUAGUAUAUAUUAUAUAAGAACAUAACAUAUAUAUAAGGAAUUGUUAUUAGCAUUCCAAAAAUCACAUUUGGCACUCCAAACUUUCUAUAAUUAGAAAGAAAAAUACACUUGUGAGGAGUGUAGAAUGAGAUUUUUGGAGUGCUAAUAACAAUUUCAUAUAUAUAUAUAUAUAUAUAUAUAUAUAUAUAUAUAUAUAUAUAUCUAUGUAUGUAUGGAGACAAUCUACUUACAAUGGAUUCGAGCCGGCAAUAUUCCUCUCACCCAAACUGUAGAAAGGUAUCAAGCAAGCACGUUGGGUAAAGAAAGGAAGGUCAUAACCAGGUGGAGCUAUCUUCCCUAUCAUUGGCUCGUCGAACAGUUCACCUUUAUGGCUUUCAAAGUCCCAGCUAAAGAUCAAUUCUGAAGUGCCAUAGAAAAUGACAUGAGCAUUCGGACUUAUUGCAUAGGGUUUCAACACUAUAUCUGCACUGGGUAUAAGCAUUGUAUCCGACCCCCAUACCCAACCAUUCCAAACAGCACUAUAUUUGAGAGUCCAUUGGUCACCAGAUUCACGUCGAUCAUUAUAAGACCAAAAACGAAAAGUUUUUGAACUAUCACAUGUUACAUAACAAACAAGAUCCUUUGACACCCCAAGACAUCCCAUUGUUGCACCUGUCUUAUCAUCGUCCCCAAGAACACGAGGGAGUUCAAAGGCUCGAGCUUUAACGGUAUUGAGGUCAAUACAUAAAACUUUCUGUGAACUAGCAAGGCCAUAUAACACCCCGCGCAAGUAUACAAAAUGCCUGCAAACCUUGGAAGUUUUAAAUCCAUCAACAAAAUUGGGGUCGAGUUGCAAUCCACGACGAGCCCACUGUCCAGAUUGCGAAGAAAAUAUGUCCAUCAUCAGAGUUAGGGUUGGGGUUGGGGUUGGGACUGGGGAACCACUGGAUUUGGAUUGUGGGGAAUAAUCAAUUCGAACAAUUCUAUAGUGGUUGGAUUCAACAGGGUCAAAAGCCAAGGCAGCGCAAAAAUGCUCACGCUCAUGUGCACAUGCUAUAGGUACGGAGACAUGUUGUUUGGUGAUGGGGUUGAACACACAGAAUUGACAAGUGCGCAGGUUGAAGAACAGAAUUAACCCAUUACAACAGUCAAGAUAACUGUCAGAUACGUCGCGCACCUGAGUGACAACUAGUUUAUCGGGUUCUAGAAUGUCAUUAUUCCAGAAUGUGGUCCAGUAGUUAUAAUUAUGAUGCAAACAUACGUAAUUGAGUUGAAGAUACGUAUCAUCAUCAGCUGGCCACAGAGUACGGUAGUAAAGACCUAUAAUAGGAGACUGCGACCAAAAUAUCCGCAACCAAACAUCAGAGAUUAUUCGAUGCCAUGACUUGGCAACUAUCUUGCAUUUCAUCAAAUCUAACUGUGAUAAUCUGCUCAAAAUAUUAAACCACAAAUCAUCACACAUACAUAAAUCCCUCGUACCCGAAUCAUUCAAUUCGACAGCAGCAGCCGGAGAGCCAACCAUGAUGAUCUCUAGUUAUUCUGGUAAAGUUGAAAGAAACAGAAGUAUCGGAAACCCUAAAAUUUUGAAACUUAAGGGCAGCGUCCGAAACCCGAGAAUUCAGAAAUUCAAUCAGGACCUGAAUUAAGCCUCGAAAGAAACCAUCGACUAACAAUAAACUGUACGCAGAUCAAUUUGUAAAGUCUUCGUACUACAUCUUAUGUUGGCGUGUGAGUCAUAAAUCAAUUAGUAUUGGAAUGUAAUUUGGUUUCCUACAUUAAAGGGAUUCCUACCUAGUUUAGGAUAAACUCUUUUAUUAUUAUUCAUUGUACCGCAAGGUGUGGAUGUAUAUAUAUGCCUCCAUAUUGGAGAUAUGAGAAUAAGAAUCAAUCAAAGUUAUUUUCCUAUUCCUAUUCGGAUUGGGAUUUUUUAUUUGGAUUUGAUGACUUUAAACCAAGCAUCAUACUACUGCCUUUUUCCCCCUUUAGCUUCAGUUACGAAAUAUCGUGUAGUUUUGAUAUGAAAUGACAACCUUACCCUCACUCUAAGCACCCUUAAUUCCUAGCUAGGGUUUCUCCACAACCGCGUUACUCUCUAAAAGCCUCUCAUGCCUCCCUGUAGAUGUAAUCAAUUGAUUAUCAUAGCGAAUAACCAAAGAUAUGACAUUAGCAUGGACAUAACCUAGAACCUCAGUACUCUUAUAAAAUAAUAACUUCCUCGUACUUAUUAAAAAAAUUUAAUUCUAAAUUGGGCCAGUUAUAUAUAAGAGUACAACUUGAGUGGGUUGCAAGUUCAACCCAACUCUAACCCAACCCUCACAAAAGUGGUUAAAUUUUAGAUUGGAUUUCAUUCGGGUUUAUUUGAGGUCAGACCUAUUAAAUAGUAAAUAAGAAAAAAUAGUUAGUCGUAUAUAUUUUAUAUGUGAAACAAUUAUUAUUAAAGCAAAAUACAUAAAGGACAUAAUAAUUACCAAAUGGAAUCAAGUAUCUUUAGUGCUACAUGAAACCCGAUGCCAAGAACUUAAACAAUAUCAACUACACCUAUAAAUGGAAUUUAAAAUAGACACCUGCUUUAAAAAUCAUAUAUAUUAACACUAAGCUCAGUAUCUUAGAAGGAAGAAGAAAGCAAUGAAAACCUUCAUAGAAAAAUGUAGAGAGAUAGAAGAGAGAGAAGAAUGAACUGCUAUGAAUGUAUUGAUUGAUUGAGAAUUACAGAGAAUUGCUAUACAUACUACAACCUUCGAUUCAUAGCUAAGUAAUCGAAAACUAAUUAACUUCUCUUAUCCUUUUAGUUGUCUAACCACAAUCCUAACAACCUUGGCUAACGUGUAAGCCAUAUGUCAAAACCCUAUCUUGCCGAUGUGUACAUAUAUCUAUCAACAUCGCCCCUCAAUCUUAGCUGGGUUUCCAAGCUUGAGAUUGAAUGAAUGCUUGAGGAAUGAAGGACUAUGUAGACCCUUAGUUAGUAUGUCUGUGGUUUGACCUUCAGUAGGUAGAUAUUGAACUUGCAAAUCCCCCUUUUGAACUCUCUCCAGUACGAAAUGAUAUUUGUGUCUAAAUGUUUGAUCCUCAAGUGAAAAACUGGUUUGGCACUUAAUGCAAUUGCAUAUUUGUUAUCA